rnacentral:pre_miRNA from 15 species
CGUUUCGGUUUAGAAUUCCUACGCUUUACCGUGUGAAAGGCUGGCAAAGCGUUUGGAUUCUGAAUCGAACCU